UGUUCUGGACGUCCUGGCCUUCCCUCCGGUUUUCCGCCGGUGCUCUUGACUGAGUGUCGGCGGCGGCCGGAACGUUUACUUUGAAAAAAUUAGAGUGUUCAAAGCAGGCUCUCGAGCCUGGAUAAUGGUGCAUGGAAUAAUGGAAUAGGACCUCGGUUCUAUUUUGUUGGUUUUCGGAGCGCGAGGUAAUGAUUAAGAGGGACAGACGGGGGCAUUCGUACUGUGCCGUUAGAGGUGAAAUUCUUGGAUCGGCGCAAGACGAACGACUGCGAAAGCAUUUGCCAAGAAUGUUUUCUUUAAUCAAGAGCGAAAGUCAGAGGUUCGAAGACGAUCAGAUACCGUCCUAGUUCUGACUAUAAACGAUGCCAACUAGCGAUCGGGGGGCGUUACAUUGACGACCCCUCCGGCAGCUUACGGGAAACCAAAGUCUUUGGGUUCCGGGGGAAGUAUGGUUGCAAAGCUGAAACUUAAAGGAAUUGACGGAAGGGCACCACCAGGAGUGGAGCCUGCGGCUUAAUUUGACUCAACACGGGAAAUCUCACCCGGCCCGGACACAGUGAGGAUUGACAGAUUGAGAGCUCUUUCUUGAUUCUGUGGGUGGUGGUGCAUGGCCGUUCUUAGUUGGUGGAGCGAUUUGUCUGGUUAAUUCCGAUAACGAACGAGACUCUGGCUUGCUAAAUAGUUACGCGACCAUCCCGGUCGGCGUUUAACUUCUUAGAGGGACAA
rnacentral:ncRNA from 1 species